GUUUCUUGAACCUUCUCGGUUUCCCUUGCACCUUUCUUUGAUUUCCGAGGGUUCUUGUCUUUGGAACCUUUUGGGUCUACCACGUUUCUUAUGUGUUGUAGCCUCUGUAGCAACUUGAUUGUGUUCCUUGUGAACAUCAAUACGUACUGGUGCAUUAUAAGCUGGUAUGUACGAUUUUGUUACUCUCUUUGGGUCAUUAUAGGAAUCUUGGUAACUGUUUUAGCUAGCUUUUAUAGAUAUAUAGUCUUUUGGAUCUCUGAUGGAGUCCGAGGAUCUUGCCAUGUGAAGGAUGUUUGAUUCCAUAUAAGUUCUUUGACCAGCUUGUUAGUCUCUCCACCCAGUGUUGGGAAAACGGAUUCAUUGAGAUGACAAUCCUUGUAUCUGGCCUUUGGCUCGAGAUACUUAAUGAUGGUGGGAGAAUCAUUUUUAACGUAUAUUCCCAUCCCCUUUUGAGGUCCCAUCAUUUGCUCUCUGUGGUGGUGCUAUGGGUAAAUAGGUGACACACCCAAAUGUCUUUAGAUGGGAAACGUCUGGCUCAUGACCCGUUAGCAAUUGGGAUGGGGAAUAUCUAUGUUUACUAAAUGGCCGAAUGCGUAUUAAUUCAACAGCGUGUAAAACUGCAUGUCCCCAAGCUGAGACCGGAAGCUGCGACCUCAUGAGUAAUGGUCGAGCAAUUAGUUGAUUUCGUUUAAUGAGGGAUUCAGCUAAUCCGUUCUGUGUAUGGACAUGUGCCACAGGAUGUUCCACACUUACCCCCAUGUCCAUACAAUAGUCAUUAAAUGCUUGGGAAGUGAAUUCACCAGCAUUAUCUAAACGUAUGGUCUUAAGAGGAAAAUCUGGAAAAUGGGCUCGCAAUCUGAUCAUUUGGGCCAAUAACCUAACAAACGCUUGGUUCCUAGAAGACAAUAGGCAAACAUGCGACCAGCGGGUCGAUGCAUUGAUUAAAACCAUGAAGUACCGAAAUGUUCCACAAGGUGGAUGGAUCGGACCACAUAUGUCUCCUUGAAUUCGUUCCAGAAAAUUUAAGGUCUCUUUAGACACUUUGACUGGUGAAGGUCGAGUGAUAAGCUUCCCUUGUGAACAGGCUAUGCACGUGUGGUGCUUAGGGAAAACUCGGUUUUCUUUAAGGGUGUGCCCUUUAGAACUUUGAAUUAAUUUACGCAUCAUAUUCGAACCGGGCUGGCCAAGCCGGUCAUGCCAUUAGUGAAUCUCUCAGUAAACUCUUUUGCUUACUUUAUUAGCCUUUAUCAUAUUGACCUUGGCAUAGUAAAGAUCUAUGACGCGGGUAUAGUCUCUAAGACCUUCUCAUGGUCUUCGGGUGUUCUUAGUAAUAUAUGGGAAUCCUUUGUUCCCUUCACCCUUAGUUUCAAUGUGGAAACCAUUCAAACACUUUUCUUUGAAACUCAACAAGGCCCCUUUGAGCUGGGUGAAUAUGAAGCAUCUGAGGAUGCGUGCCCUUGGGAAUAUGGGCCUGCCAUGGGCCUGCCCUUAGCCUUCACUAAAUUAAGCUAUACCCGCAAUUUGGCUAAUCAACCAUGUCUUUGGAUAUUUUGUUGGCAUUCCGAAGUCUCAUAGUCAUCUAUCUCAUGGUCGAAAUCUUCUUCACCAUUGUGAUGAACUAAAUGAACUUCUAGAUUCUUUUCAAACUCUCUUGAUAGAGAUCAAUGAGAUUCUUAGGAGUCAUGCACGUCUUAGUCCAAUGGUUUCCCCAUUCCUCAUCAGUGGCAAACAAGUUUAUUUGAGUGUUGUGGUUUGGGUAUACCACGGCCUCUAACUCGAUUACGACCAAAGUCGGGUCGGCGGCCUUAACCAUAUGAAUUUUUCCUUGAUCAUAUAAAUUAUAAUUGCCACUUCUACCAUGGCCAUUCCAUUUACCAUGACUGUGGCCAUGAUACUUAUCUCUUUGUAGGUGGUUAGACUCUUUAGUCUCUUUAGGCUCUUUAGGCUCUUCAGCCCAAUGGGCUUCUGAUAAUGGGGUAGGACCAGGAGGUCUCAUUUCACUAUUUAUAACUCAUUGUUUUGCUCAGCAAGUAGCAAAACAAGAGUUUAGAGUUGCAUAUGUGGUAAAACCUUUUUUCACGAUAUUGUUGCUGAGGCAAUAUAUUGUUUGUGUGAAAGGUCGAGAAUGCUUUCUCUAGCAAGUCAUUCUCAGUAACUUCCUCACCACGGAAUCUCAGUAUUGACACUAUUUUAAAUAGUGCUGAGUUAUACUCAUUCAUGGACUUGAAUUCCUAGAAUUUGAGAUUCUUCCGAUCGAAUCGGGCUUUUGGGUAAUAGCACCGUUGUUUGGUGGUUAUAUAUAUAUAUAUUUUUUUUCAACUCUGUCCUGAGAUCCAGAAGAUUCUUAAUAGUGAGGUAUUGAUUUUGAGACUCUCAUUGAGGUGAUGGUGUAUGUUAGUAAUCGCCUUAUAUCUUUCUCUUCUGGUGGCAUUGUUUCCUUCCACAAUAGAUUCACCAAGUCCUUUUUCCUUUAGGACAAUCUCAGUGUCCAAAACCCAUUGUAAAUAAUUGUCACUAGAGGCAUUGAGUGCCGUGUAUUCAUAAUAGUUGAUUUCUGAUAUCUAUAAUAUAUAGAGUUAAAUGAGAACUCAUGUAAUCGGUUAGACCAAGUCAUGCGGUAUUUAAGACCGAGCCAUGCUUGUCUUCAGCAAGUGUUUUCUAAACAAUCAUGUUAUAUAUAUAUAUAUGGAUGAAAUCAACCCUAGAAGAUUGAUCUAGUAUGCAACAACCAAACAAUCGGAUCAUACUAGAUUAGGAUAUUAGGAUUUCGCGGUUAAGUUUUAGGGUUUUAGCAUCCGCGAUUUAUAGUACUAGGGUUUUUGCUAGGAUUUCGGUUUUAUGUAUGGAACUUUCUAUUUAUGGAAACUUUCCUUAUAUGGAACUUUCCUUUUAUGGAAAAUUUUUAUUUCUCAUCUAGAAAUAAAUCCUAAACAAUUAUGUACUUUAUGGUUUUGGAAUAUUUACUUAUGAAGGAGUUUCCUAUUUUGGUAACUUUCCAUUUUGGGAAACUUGCUAUUUUAGGAAACCUUUUAUUUUGGGAAACUUGCUAUUUUACGAAACUUUCUAUUUCUGUAAACUUUCUUUAUAUGGAACUUUCUAUUUCUGGAAACUUUCCAUUUAUAGGAAGCUUGAUCUUAAACCGUGACUUAGGGUAUAUUAAACCGGUUUAACCUAGGAUUUAGGGUUUCGGUUUACUUUCGGUUUAACUUAGGGUUUAUAUUAAAACAUUCAAUCUAUCAUGCCAUUAAACAUCUUUCCAUUCACUAACUUCUCAAUUAAUUCUCCAAUCAUAAAUCAAAUCACAUGUGCCAAUUUUCAUGCAAAUUUUAUCUUAUCAAACUUUAAUUGGAUCAUGUAUAUAAAGCAUAUUAAAUAAAUAGCACUUAUCUUAAUUGGAGAACUGAAACAGAGACCCGAGAUCUGAUACGGAGAUUGGAAACAGUUAUGUCUCUUAGCUGGUUGGGACCUCCUACAAAAUCUCAAUAUAUAUAAUCCUGAUUCCUGAGAAACUCAAAAUUUUGCUCAUAGAAACAUGGCUAUUACAUUAGUAAAAAGAAAAAAAAAUAGGGUUUCUGUAAUAUACUGCAUAAAACAGUUCAUAAUCAAUAACAUAUAAUCCGUUCAUAAAUCGUACAAAAAUAUAGACAGGAUUGAUAAUAAAUAAUCUGUGCAAAAUUUGUGCAAAUCUACAGACAGAAUUGACAACAGAUAAUCUGUGCAAAAUUCGUGCAGAAAUACAGAUAAAAUUGAUAACAUAUAAUCCGUGCAAAAUUCGUGCAAAACUACAGACAGAAUUGACAAUAGAUAAUCUGUGCAAAAUUCGUGCAGAAAUACAGACAAAAUUGAUAACAUAUAAUCCGUGCAAAAUUCGUGCAAAACUACAGACAGAAUAGAUAACAAAUUAUCUGUGCAAAGUUCGUGCAGAAAUACAGACAGGAUUGAUAACAGAUAAUCCGUGCAAAAUUCGUGCAGAAACAAAUAUGAAUAGAAAACUUAUCUCGAUAGAGUUUAAAAUUUUGUUUGCAGAGACAGCUAGGGUUUUGGUUUUGGUUUUUGUGAGAGAGAUUUAGGGUUUCGGGAUUUUUUAAUUUUUAGGGUAAGAGGCUAUCGUGCUGAUAACGUGUUGUGAACUGUGUCUUUCAUUAAUAGAAUAAGGGAUAUAUAUACAAGGAUAAUAGCAGGAUACAGAGAAUAAGGUAAAACCCUAAUGGGCCAUGGGCCGGUUAUGGAGUCCAUCCAUAUGGUUUAUAACAAUGGUAAAGUAAAACUAGCGUGUGAGUUUUCUCUCCCUUCUCUCUCUUGAUUUUUCAGAGAGAGAAAGCGAUUUUUGGCAAAGACCAAUCUCUGUCCAACAUCGGCCAGUUUCUUUAACGACGAUGGUUGGCUCCUUUCCAGCAUCAACCGGCUUCUUUAGCGGUGGUGGCUGGCUUUUGUGUCCGGACAUGGUCCGGCUUUGCCCUCUUAUCUCGUCGUCCGGUUCCCACUUUACUCUUUCGUGGAAUCCGGCUUUAGUUUCUGGUUAUUCGAUGCCGAUUUUAUGUUUUUGCUUUCAAUAAUCAUCGUGAUCUUAGUACCAAUUUCUCUUUUGGGUUUCCUUACCAUCCUCCUUUCUCGAGCUUUCUUGGAUCCUUCUUUAGAUGAAAGUCAAUCUUUGUUUUAAUUCUAGUCUCUGUCUUUUGGGUUUUAAUCAACUUUUAGGGUUUGUUUCAACCCAAUUCGAUCUGCUCAAUCCUUUGAUUUGGAAUCUCAAUCCGGCAUAUCUCGAAAGAUUUAAUCAUCAAGAGAAAUCAUGAUUUCUCUUUUGUCAUAGAUCGUUGCUGUUAUGGAGGAAUUUAGAUCAAACUACAAACAUAAGUUUUUAUUUCUAGAUUUUUCUUAAGAUUCGAUCAUUGGUUAGUUUGUUGGAGAGCAUCUUUGGUAGCGAUAUGGUGGAGCAAAGCGGCGGAUUUACAAGAGCGAUGAGGUUGUCGUGGAGGAAUCGGUUGGUUACCGGAAUUGAUGGUGGUGCUGGGAAGGUAACGAUGAAACAAUCGUCGGUGUAAGAAAUGAGAGUCACAUCCACGUGUCAUAUGUUGCUUUCACUUGUUUUAUUUGCGAUGUACCUUUUGUAUCUUUAUGGAUUUUCGUUGAGCCCAUUGUUGUGGAUGUCGGAUUCACACACUCAAGUAUUUUAUUAAGUAGGAAAGAUUAUUCUUGAGGGGCAAAAAUG
rnacentral:lncRNA from 1 species